UGGGGUGUCGUCUAACGGUAGGACAGCGGAUUCUGGUUCCGUAUGUGAGGGUUCGAUUCCUUCCACCCCAGCCA
rnacentral:tRNA from 1 species